rnacentral:tRNA from 1 species
GCCCGGGUGGUGGAAUGGCAGACACAACGGACUUAAAAUCCGUUGCCCUUUUAGGCGUGGGGGUUCGAAUCCCCCCCCGGGUACCA